rnacentral:pre_miRNA from 1 species
ACCUUUUCGAAACCGUGCUGAGAUUUCGUCAGACACCAAUCCAUAAGGGUUGAUCAGACUUCCAAGAUAAGUGAAGUU